rnacentral:rRNA from 1 species
UNUGAAGUUAAAGGCUGUGGCUUANCCAUAGUACGCUUUGGAAACUGUUUAACUNGAGUGCAGAAGGGGAGAGUGGAAUNCCAUGUGUAGCGGUGAAAUGCGUAGAUAUAUGGAGGAACACCGGUGGCGAAAGCGGCUCUCUGGUCUGUAACUGACGCUGAGGCUCGAAAGCGUGGGGAGCGAACAGGAUUAGAUACCCUGGUAGUNCACGUCGUAAACGAUGAGUGCUAGGUGUUAGGCCCUUUCCGGGGCUUAGUGCCGCAGCUAACGCAUUAAGCACUCCGCCUGGGGAGUACGACCGCAAGGUUGAAACUCAAAGGAAUUGACGGGGGCCCGCACAGGCGGUGGAGCAUGUGGUUUAAUUCGAAGCAACGCGAAGAACCUUGCCAGGUCUUGACAUCCCGAUGCCCGCUCUAGAGAUAGAGUUUUACUUCGGUACAUCGGUGACAGGUGGUGCAUGGUUGUCGUCAGCUCGUGUCGUGAGAUGUUGGGUUAAGUCCCGCAACGAGCGCAACCCUUAUUGUUAGUUGCCAUCAUUCAGUUGGGCACUCUAGCGAGACUGCCGGUAAUAAACCGGAGGAAGGUGGGGAUGACGUCAAAUCAUCAUGCCCCUUAUGACCUGGGCUACACACGUGCUACAAUGGCUGGUACAACGAGUCGCAAGUCGGUGACGGCAAGCUAAUCUCUUAAAGCCAGUCUCAGUUCGGAUUGUAGGCUGCAACUCGCCUACAU